UACGUAGGCAGCAAGCGUUGUUCGGAGUUACUGGGCGUAAAGAGUGUGUAGGCGGUGUUCCCAGUCUGUUGUGAAAUCUCCCGGCUUAACUGGGAGGGUGCAGCGGAAACUAGAAUGCUAGAGGGUGGGAGAGGUAAGCGGAAUUCCUGGUGUAGCGGUGAAAUGCGUAGAUAUCAGGAGGAACACCUGUGGUGUAGACAGCUUACUGGACCACUUCUGACGCUGAGACACGAAAGCGUGGGUAGCAAACAGG
rnacentral:rRNA from 1 species